AUUUAUAUUUUUUAUUACGAUAGCAAUUUCGCGACUGCGAGUGACUUUUGGGACACUCUGUAUACAUUUCGAAUAUACUAGACCAUAUUGACAUAACAGAUUAAUUCAUAGUCGAACACAAAUAAUAGAAACACCAUACUACUGUUACAAUACUCAUUUAAUUGUUGCAGGUUAUUUAAAUAGUUCCAAUUUCAAUGUCAUAUCAUGUGAUUAUACCUGUGUCUCACAGAGAGAUUAUAUUUCGGCAGUGGUUCUUCUCGAUGAUGUGGCCACAAUUGUCGCUAAAAGUAUAAAUGAUAUGGUUGCGGCUGGAAUGAAUCAAACUAAAUUAAUACUCUCUGGAAUGUCUUUGGGUUCACAACUCUGCGGCUUCAUUGGGCGCAAAUUAUUCUUCGCUCUCUACCAGUGAUAAUAGGUGGUGAUCCAGCCGGACCAUUGUUUAAUAUUACCUCCCCCUCGCUAUCUGCAUCUGAUGCAGCUUGUGUAAUAUGUAUUCACACCGAUAUGGGAGUAUAUGGAACUCCUCAACCCUGAAACCACAUAGACAUCUAUCCAAACGGUGGCAUGCGAGAACAAUCUGGCUGUUCACCGUGGUUGAUCCAAUAUCCCGGAGGCACAUCCGAACGCUUUUAUGGGUGUAAAGUGCAGUAGUUGGAAUGACUUUAAGGCUGGCAAUUGCAAUAAAACUGAUACAAUACCUAUGAGUUAUGCUACACCAUGUUCAGCGUUAGUAUAACGCUUUCAUAGAAUUCAUUCUUUAGUUUAAUGAAGUUCAAUGUUUAUACUGCUUGGAUUUCAUCUGAAGAAUAAUGUACGACGAUGUAGAUAGAUCUUGCAGUUUCUGAUUAAUUGACAUUUUCAUCCAAUCUUUCAUAUUCAUAUUUCUAAAUAUUGACGAAUGAUAAAAUACACGGCACAAUCUAUUUUUUAGAUUCAUAUUUUUCAAUAUUGGUAAAUUAUUCUGUUUUUCAGGGCAGGUAAAUACUACCUCCAAACAAAUAAUGCAUCUCCGUUUGCGAAGGGAUCAGCUGGUACUGUCUACCAAAGCUGAUUGAAAUAAAACAUACUUCACUCAUACUUUUUAUUUUAAAUACUUCUUGUAGUUUGAUUUAUGUAGAAAUGUAUAUUGUGAUCUUUUAGACGCAAAUAAAUGUUGCAUGCAGAAAGUAUAAUAAAAUCUUGUCGAUUCAAUCAA